rnacentral:rRNA from 1 species
UACAGAGGGGGCAAGCGUUGUUCGGAAUUACUGGGCGUAAAGGGCGCGUAGGCGGCCCGCUAAGUCGAACGUGAAAUCCCCGAGCUCAACUCGGGAACUGCGUCCGAUACUGGCGGGCUUGAAUCCGGGAGAGGGAUGCGGAAUUCCCGGUGUAGAGGUGAAAUUCGUAGAUAUCGGGAGGAACACCAGUGGCGAAGGCGGCGACCUGGACCGAUACUGACGCUGAGACACGAAAGCGUGGGGAGCAAACAGG